rnacentral:tRNA from 2 species
GCCGAGGUAGCUCAGUUGGUAGAGCAGAGGACUGAAAAUCCUCGUGUCGGCGGUUCGAUUCCGUCCCUCGGCACCA